rnacentral:rRNA from 1 species
AUUGAACGCUGGCGGCAGGCCUAACACAUGCAAGUCGAACGAGUGGCGGACGGGUGAGUAAUGUCUGGGAAACUGCCUGAUGGAGGGGGAUAACUACUGGAAACGGUAGCUAAUACCGCAUACCAUCGGAUGUGCCCAGAUGGGAUUAGCUAGUAGGUGGGGUAAAGGCUCACCUAGGCGACGAUCCCUAGCUGGUCUGAGAGGAUGACCCGCCACACGGGGACUGAGACACGGUCCAGACUCCGACGGGAGGCAGCCGGGGGGAAUAUUGCACAAUGGGCGCGAGCCUGAUGCAGCCAUGCCGGGUGUAUUAAGAAGGCCUUAGGGUUGUAAAGUACUUUCAGCGGGAAGGCGUUACCCGCAGAAGAAGGAAGUGCUAUCUCCGAGCCAGCCGCCGCGGUAAUAC